CCUACGGGAGGCAGCAGUGAGGAAUAUUGGUCAAUGGGCGCGAGCCUGAACCAGCCAAGUAGCGUGAAGGAUGACUGCCCUACGGGUUGUAAACUUCUUUUAUAAAGGAAUAAAGUGAGGCACGUGUGCCUUUUUGUAUGUACUUUAUGAAUAAGGAUCGGCUAACUCCGUGCCCGCAGCCGCGGUAAUACGGAGGAUCCGAGCGUUAUCCGGAUUUAUUGGGGUUAAAGGGAGCGUAGAUGGGUUGUUAAGUCAGUUGUAAAAGUUUGCGGCUCAACCGUAAAAUUGCAAUUGAUACUGGCAGUCUUGAGUCCAGUUGAGGUAGGCGGAAUGCGUGGUGUAGCGGUGAAAUGCUUAGAUAUCACGAAGAACUCCGAUUGCGAAGGCAGCUUACUAAACUGCCACUGACAUUGAUGCUCGAAAGUGUGGGUGUCAAACAGGAUUAGAUACCCCAGUAGUC
rnacentral:rRNA from 1 species